AUUGAACGCUGGCGGAAUGCUUUACACAUGCAAGUCGAGCGGCAGCGCGGGGCAACCUGCCGACGAGUGGCGAACGGGUGAGUAAUAUAUCGGAACGUGCCCAGUAGUGGGGGAUAACUGCUCGAAAGAGCAGCUAAUACCGCAUACGACCUGAGGGUGAAAGGGGGGGAUCGGAAGACCUCUCGCUAUUGGAGCGGCCGAUAUCAGAUUAGCUAGUUGGUGGGGUAAAGGCCUACCAAGGCAACGAUCUGUAGUUGGUCUGAGAGGACGACCAGCCACACUGGGACUGAGACACGGCCCAGACUCCUACGGGAGGCAGCAGUGGGGAAUUUUGGACAAUGGGCGCAAGCCUGAUCCAGCAAUGCCGCGUGCAGGAAGAAGGCCUUCGGGUUGUAAACUGCUUUUGUCAGGGAAGAAAUCUUCUGGGCUAAUACCCCGGGAGGAUGACGGUACCUGAAGAAUAAGCACCGGCUAACUACGUGCCAGCAGCCGCCGUAA
rnacentral:rRNA from 1 species